GUCUCUGUAGUAUAUUUAAUACAUUAGCCUUGUAAGCUAAUAAAGGAGCCAAUAAACCUCCCUGAGACU
rnacentral:tRNA from 1 species